rnacentral:rRNA from 1 species
UCCGGUUGAUCCUGCCGGAGGACAUUGCUAUUGGGAUUCGAUUUAGCCAUGCUAGUCGAACGAGUUCACACUCGUGGCACAUAGCUCAGUAACACGUGGCCAAGUUACCCUUCAGUCGGCAAUACCCUCGGGAAACUGAGGCUAAUAGCCGAUACGAAACAGACGCUGGAAUGCACUGUAUUCCAAAGACAUCGCUGAAGGAUGCGGCUGCGGCCGAUUAGGUAGACGGUGGGGUAACGGCCCACCGUGCCAGUAAUCGGUACGGGUGAUGAGAGUCAGAGCCCGGAGACGGAAUCUGAGACAAGAUUCCGGGCCCUACGGGGCGCAGCAGGCGCGAAACCUUUACACUGCACGAAAGUGCGAUAGGGGAAUCCCAAGUGCGAGGGCAUAUUAGCCCUCGCUUUUGUUGACUCUAAGGCGGUCAACGAAUAAGAGCUGGGCAAGACCGGUGCCAGCCGCCGCGGUAAUACCGGCAGCCCGAGUGAUGGCCGAUCUUAUUGGGCCUAAAGCGUCCGUAGCUGGCUGCGCAAGUCCGUCGGGAAAUCCACUCGCCCAACGAGUGGGCGUCCGACGGAAACUGCACAGCUUGGGACCGGAAGGCUCGAAGGGUACGUUCGGGGUAGGAGUGAAAUCCCAUAAUCCCGCACGGACCACCGAUGGCGAAAGCACUUCGAGAAAACGGAUCCGACAGUGAGGGACGAAAGCCAGGGUCUCCAACCGGAUUAGAUACCCGGGUAGUCCUGGCCGUAAACAAUGUUCGCUAGGUAUGACACAGACUACGCGUCUCUGUUGUGCCGUAGGGAAGCCGAGAAGCGAACCGCCUGGGAAGUACGUCUGCAAGGAUGAAACUUAAAGGAAUUGGCGGGGGAGCACUACAACCGGAGGAGCCUGCGGUUUAAUUGGACUCAACGCCGGACAUCUCACCAGCUCCGACUACAGUGAUGACGACCAGGUUGAUGACCUCAUCACGACGCUGUAGAGAGGAGGUGCAUGGCCGCCGUCAGCUCGUACCGUGAGGCGUCCUGUUAAGUCAGGCAACGAGCGAGACCCGCACCCCUAAUUGCCAGCAACAGUUUCGACUGGUUGGGUACAUUAGGAGGACUGCCAGUGUUAAACUGGAGGAAGGAACGGGCAACGGUAGGUCAGUAUGCCCCGAAUGAGCUGGGCAACACGCGGGCUACAAUGGCUAAGACAAUGGGUCGCUAUCUCGACAGAGAACGCUAAUCUCGAAACUUAGUCGUAGUUCGGAUUGAGGGCUGAAACUCGCCCUCAUGAAGCUGGAUUCGGUAGUAGCCGCCUUUCAGUAGAAGGCGACGAAUACGUCCCUGCUCCUUGUACACACCGCCCGUCA